AUAAACAUCACUUAAUAUCUGAAAUCCAUAGAUUUUUUUUAUUUUUUUACCUUGAUUUGAUUUGAGUGUGUUACAGAUCGAGUCAGAGGAGUCACUGAGACAACAAGUGAAGUGAAAAUGGCAAGCGGGUCCGAUUUACAGAAGACUCAGUUGCCCAAAAUCACUCUCCAUGUGCACAGCUCCGCAGCCUCAUCAUCUUUGGCUGGCUUCUUCCUUGAACAUUCAUUCAUUCAUCUAAUUAAACAAAAGAAAACACGUCGCCUUCUUCACAUUGCAUGAACGUGCACAGUUUAUUAUUUUCCUAUUUACUUUCUUCAAUCAUUUGCCUUCCAUGCUCUCUAUCUGAGACUUCUCGUUUGUUCUUCCACUCAUGGAUUCAACGGGUCGCCUCGACUAUGCUCUCUUUCAGCUCACUCUCACUCCAACUCGGUCGAGGGACAUUAAAUUUAAUAGUCUGGUUAUGUUUUUGUAUUAAUGGAAGUUUGAAAUGGGAUCAUAUUGGUGUGUUUUGGUUGUGUUUGUGGGUGAAGAUUUGAGCUGGUGUUGUUGUUUAGAGGGAAUAGUGAGAAAUUAGCUUCUGGGUUGUUUGAACCUUUCAUUUCUCAUCUUAAAUUUGCAAGAGAUGAAGUUUCAAAAGGGAGCUACUCCAUUACUCUUCGUCCACCAAAUCGUGACGCCCUCUGGUUCACUAAAACUACAUUUGAGAGAUUUGUGAGGUUUGUAAGCACACCGGCAGUGCUUGAGAGGUUUGUUAGUGUUGAAAAAGAGAUUUUGCAGAUCGAGGUAUUAGUUCAAUCUAUCAAAUUGUCAAACGCUUGCGUGCCUGGGCAAGUGGAGCAAGGCAGUGGGGAUGGUAAUAGAACGAAGUUGUUUGAUUCCUCUAAGCUAAAAGGUGAACUUGAAAGAAAGAAUGAUGCUGUAAAAAAAGAGAACGCCAAGAUUCAACUUCAUCGUCUGUUGGGAACUCGGAAAGCAUUGCUCCAGAAAGAGCAAGCAAUGGCUUUUGCUCAUGGACUUGUUGCUGGAUUUGAAGUUGACAGCAUAGGUGAUCUCAUUUCAUUUGCUGAUGUGUAUGGAGAUUAAAGAUUAAGGGAAGCAUGCAUAAGCUUCAAGUAUUUUGGAAGAAAAAGCAUGGCGAUGGUCUUUGGAUGGAGGAAUUAGCAGCAAUGGAGGCAUGCUCCACAUCAGAACUGUCAUUAAUGGGCACAUCUGGCAUUGUACUUACACACGAAACCAUCACCCCUAACAAGAAUGUUCUGUUAAAUUUUACAUCUAAUGCUAAUCUCAGGACAAAUGAAUCUUUGGAUAAAUCCAUUUCCGAUUCAACUGCAAGUCAUGCAAGUUCAGAUGGCAACCAAGGUAUUUCAUAAAUUUUUCAUUUCUUUCUGUGCUUAACUGUUGCAUGCACUAGAAGUCUUGAACAUCUGACUGUAUUAAGUCUGGCCAAUCAAAGGCAUUAUUACAUAUAACUUACUAAUCAUUUAAGCAGAUUGUUUAAAUUAUUUAUGCAUUAAGUGAAAUUAGAUUACUCCUAGUCAGUUUAUAAUAUUUUCUUCUUGCUAUCAUUUAAUGUUCUGAUUCCCUCAACACUGCUCUAGUUUUCUACUUAGCUGCACUUGUUUGUACAAAUGCUAAGGUUUGUCUUCCCUUUUGAUUAUGCUUUGCUCUCUUGCUACCUCAUUUACUUUGCUCAAAUUUUCUAUGGCUUUGCAAAAACCACCGUGGCUUUUAGUUCCCAUGAAUGAAGCAACAAAACAAUGAAUGCAAACAGGGCUGCUUUUCUUAGAAUCGUGAUUUCUAUUCUCAUGAUGGCAGUAUCCCAGUUUGUAUUUAGAGCAGUUACAUUAAAAGAUACGUGCAACAAACAAAUUAGCUAUUCUCUGAUGUUAAAAACAUAUUGUGCGGAUAAUAACUUGCCUGCAAAAGUAAAAGUUCCAGUAACAUGGCCAAACCAGUUACUGCAGUCUAUGUACAGUUGUCCUAUUCAACAACUGCCUCCCUAUCAAGGGUACCAUUUUCCUCCUAUGCAUCCUCACUAUGCAGGUAGUAUGCAGUGGGCUCCCAACAUGAAAGAAUCCAAUCCUGGUUUAGCUCAGGAGGUCGAUUAUCAUAGAAAUCAUAAAUCAUCUUCCCGAAAGAAAGAGAAUUUUCUUAAUAGCAAAAAUUUUAAAUAUUCGGAAGAAGAUGGAAAAGCUGAAUCAGUGACUUAGACAUUGGGAGUGAUUCAGAUUCAAACAUACAGCAAGAGAAGAAUUCUGCAACAGAGCAUGCAUGCAAGAAAAAGCAUAUGAAGAAGUCCUCCAGGAUAGUUGUCAUUUGUAAUAUUAAUUACAUUACUCCUAAGAGGAGAAAUG